GGGCGCGUAGCUCAGUGGUAGAGCGCUUGACUCACAUUCAAGAGGUCAGAGGUUCGAUACCUCUCGUGCCCACCA
rnacentral:tRNA from 1 species